UUGAAGCUGUUGUCAGCAUAGCGACUUGGGAAAAGUCCCUUGGAAGAGGGCAGCAUAGAGGGUGAUACUCCCGUCUUUGCCCAAGUUGUCUGUGUGUACGACACGCUUUCUUUGAGUCGAGUUGUUUGGGAAUACAGCUCAAAGUAGRUGSWAAWUUCCAUCUAAAGCUAAAUAUUGGUGCGAGACCGAUAGCGAACAAGUACSGUGAGGGAAAGAUGAAAAGAACUUUGAAAAGAGAGUUAAAGAGUACCUGAACUGUUGAAAGGGAACCGUAUCGUGUCUAGUGUGUAUCCUGUGCAUAUUUCACUGGCGGUCGCAAGAUUGCUGGUGCCCUGUGCAUGGGUGUGACGUCAGAGUCAGUUUGUGCUGCGGGAGAUGGCUAGUGAGGAGGUGCGUCCCUUUUGGGAAAGUUACAGCUCGCUAGCUAGUAGCCGUGGUGUAGACUGAGGUGCCUACAACAUGCUGUGGGGUCUUUUGUUGUCUCGUGUGGGUUUGUUGCCUGGAUAGCUUGCUAUGCUGGUGAUAAUGYAUGCGAUCGAUGGGCAAUCGYAACCUCUGCUGYUCGGGACUCUGGCGAAAUGGAGCGAUAUCKACCCGWCUUGAAACACSGACCCAAKGAGUCUAACAUGUGUGCAAGUAAUUACGGGUGUGGAAAACYCAWAUGYGCAAUGAAAGUAAAGGACACCAAGUGUCUUUGGUAGGAAGGAGCUGUCAUGGCUCUGGCACUAUCGACCGAUCAUGAACCUCCGGGUGAAAGAUUUGAGUAUGAGCAUAUAUGUUGGUACCCGAAAGAUGGUGAACUAUGCCUGAAUAGGGUGAAGCCAGGGGAAACUCUGGUGGAAGCUCGUAGCGAUUCUGACGUGCAAAUCGAUCGUCAAAUUUGGGUAUAGGGGCGAAAGACUAAUCGAACCAUCUAGUAGCUGGUUCCCUCCGAAAUUUCCCUCAGGAUAGCAGCAACUUUUUACGAUAGUUUUAUGAGGUAAAGCGAAUGAUUAGAGGCCU
rnacentral:rRNA from 1 species